rnacentral:rRNA from 1 species
GACGAACGCUGGCGGCGUGCUUAACACAUGCAAGUCGAACAGCAUCACGGGAGCUUGCUCCUGGUGGCGGGUGGCGGACGGGUGAGGAAUACAUCGCAACGUACCCAGGAGGGGGGGAUAACGUAGCGUAAGUUACGCUAAUACCGCAUAUUCUGUUAGCAGGAAAGCGGGGGAUCGAAAGAACUCGCGCUGUUGGAGCGGCUGAUGUCGGAGUAGCUAGUUGGUGAGGUAAAAGCGCACCAAGGCGACGAUGCGUAGCAGGUCUGAGAGGAUGAUCUGCCACACUGGGACUGAGAAACGGCCCAGACUCCUACGGGAGGCAGCAGUGGGGAAUUUUGGACAAUGGGGGCAACCCUUAUCCAGCCAUGCCGCGUGAGUGAAGAAGGCCUUCGGGUUGUAAAGCUCUUUCGGCGGGGAAGAAAUGGCAACGGCUAAUAUCCGUUGUUGAUGACGGUACCCGCAUAAGAAGCACCGGCUAACUACGUGCCAGCAGCCGCGAUAA